UACGAAGGGGGGCUAGCGUUGCUCGGAAUCACUGGGCGUAAAGGGCGCGUAGGCGGCCAUUCAAGUCGGGGGUGAAAGCCUGUGGCUCAACCACAGAAUUGCCUUCGAUACUGUUUGGCUUGAGACCGGAAGAGGUUAGUGGAACUGCGAGUGUAGAGGUGAAAUUCGUAGAUAUUCGCAAGAACACCAGUGGCGAAGGCGGCUAACUGGUCCGGUUCUGACGCUGAGGCGCGAAAGCGUGGGGAGCAAACAGG
rnacentral:rRNA from 1 species